rnacentral:rRNA from 1 species
GUUGGCGGCCAUUGCGAGGGGGCACACCUCUUCCCAUUCCGAACAGAGCAGUUAAGCCCCUCUGCGCCGAUGGUACUGGCCCUAAAGGCUGGGAGAGUAGGUCGCCGCCAACU